rnacentral:rRNA from 1 species
UUGACCUCGGAUCAGGUAGGACUACCCGCUGAACUUAAGCAUAUCAAUAAGCGGAGGAAAAGAAACCAACAGGGAUUGCCCCAGUAACGGCGAGUGAAGCGGCAACAGCUCAGAUUUGGAAUCUGGCCCCCAGGGCCCGAGUUGUAAUCUGGAGAGGAUGCUUCUGGCGCGGCGCCUUCCGAGUUCCCUGGAACGGGACGCCGGAGAGGGUGAGAGCCCCGUACGGUUGGACGCCUAGCCUUUGUGAAGCUCCUUCGACGAGUCGAGUAGUUUGGGAAUGCUGCUCAAAAUGGGAGGUAAAUUUCUUCUAAAGCUAAAUACCGGCCAGAGACCGAUAGCGCACAAGUAGAGUGAUCGAAAGAUGAAAAGCACUUUGAAAAGAGGGUCAAACAGUACGUGAAAUUGUUGAAAGGGAAGCGCCCGUGGCCAGACUUGUGCCCCGCGGACCACCCGGCGCCCUCAGCGCCGGUGCACUCCGCGGGGCGCAGGCCAGCAUCGGUUUUCCUAGGGGGAUAAAGGCGGCGGGAACGUGGCUCCCUCGGGAGUGUUAUAGCCCGCCGCGCCAUGCCCCUGGGGGGACCGAGGACCGCGCUUCGGCAAGGAUGCUGGCGUAAUGGCCACCGGCGACCCGUCUUGAAACACGGACCAAGGAGUCAAGCAUUGGGGCGAGUGUCUGGGUGCCAAACCCGCACGCGAAAUGAAAGUGAACGCAGGUGAGAGCUUCGGCGCAUCAUCGACCGAUCCUGAUGUUCUCGGAUGGAUUUGAGUAAGAGCCUUACCGCUUGGACCCGAAAGAUGGUGAACUAUGCCUGUAUAGGGUGAAGCCAGAGGAAACUCUGGUGGAGGCUCGCAGCGGUUCUGACGUGCAAAUCGAUCGUCAAAUAUGGGCAUGGGGGCGAAAGACUAAUCGAAC